GCCUGCGUGGCUCAGCCGGUUGAGCGUCUGACUUCAGCUCAGGUCAUGAUCUCGUGGUCCGUGGGUUCGAGCCCCACGUCAGGCU
rnacentral:tRNA from 1 species